rnacentral:rRNA from 1 species
CCUACGGGAGGCAGCAGUGAGGAAUAUUGGUCAAUGGGCUUACGCCUGAACCAGCCAAGUCGCGUGAGGGAAGACUGCUCUAUGGGUUGUAAACCUCUUCUGCCAGGGAGCAACGCCGGCUACGUCUAGCCGGACUGAGAGUACCUGAAGAAAAAGCAUCGGCUAACUCCGUGCCAUCAUCCGCGGUAUUGCGGAGGAUGCGAGCGUUAUCCGGAUUUAUUGGGUUAAAAGGGUGCGUAGGCGGAAUGCCAAGUCAGCGGGAAAAUCGUGGGGCUCAACCUCGCUCCGCCGUUGAAACUGGCGUUCUGGAGUGGGCGAGAGGUAUGCGGAAUGCGUGGUGUAGCGGUGAAAUGCGUAGAUAUCACGCAGAACUCCGGUUGCGAAGGCAGCAUACCGGCGCCCAACUGACGCUGAAGCACGAAAGCGUGGGUAUCGAACAGGAUUAGAUACCCGAGUAGUC